rnacentral:rRNA from 1 species
UACGGAGGAUGCGAGCGUUAUCCGGAUUUAUUGGGUUUAAAGGGUGCGUAGGCGGGCAUUUAAGCCGGCGGUCAAAUGUCGGGGCUCAACCCCGGCCUGCCGUCGGAACUGGGUGCCUUGAGUGGGCGAGAAGUAUGCGGAAUGCGUGGUGUAGCGGUGAAAUGCAUAGAUAUCACGCAGAACCCCGAUUGCGAAGGCAGCAUACCGGCGCCCUACUGACGCUGAGGCACGAAAGUGCGGGCAUCGAACAGG